rnacentral:rRNA from 1 species
UACGUAGGGUGCAAGCGUUAAUCGGAAUUACUGGGCGUAAAGCGUGCGCAGGCGGUUUUGUAAGACAGGUGUGAGAUCCCCGGGCUUAACCUGGGAACUGCAUUUGUGACUGCAAGGCUGGAGUGCGGCAGAGGGGGAUGGAAUUCCGCGUGUAGCAGUGAAAUGCGUAGAUAUGCGGAGGAACACCGAUGGCGAAGGCAAUCCCCUGGGCCUGCACUGACGCUCAUGCACGAAAGCGUGGGGAGCAAACAGG